AGGCAUCAGGCUUCCGGCAUUUUUUUUUCCGGUAUACGUAAAUUUGUAUGCAUAUAAAUAGUAAAUACGAAAACCUUCACUGUAGAAAGAAAUAAUAAAGAAACUACAUGAUAACUGUGAUCAAUAAAAAACUAGUAACAAUUCAACUACUGAACCACAAUACCUACGUGGACUGGAAUCGAACCCAAAACUGUUUUUCCCGAGAAUAUGUUUAACAGCAACGUCUUUACGUAAUGUCUACAAUCUUAUGACAUGUAUCUAUGUCUAUAAAUUCAUGAGCAGGCAUCGCCACGCCGCAAAUUUUUUGAGCAAGUCUAUUUAUGAACAUUGGCAUCACUUAUUGUAAAACAACGUACUUGAAGGAAGGGAACACAUAUCAAAUAAUACAUUAACAUUUUUUUUAAUUAUAAUAAUUAUGCUAACACUUUUUUUUUUAUAAAAGAACACAAAUAAAUCAAUAAUGCUUGGUAUAAAAC